rnacentral:rRNA from 1 species
GACGAACGCUGGCGGCGUGCUUAACACAUGCAAGUCGAACGGAAAGGCCCUGCUUUUGUGGGGUGCUCGAGUGGCGAACGGGUGAGUAACACGUGAGUAACCUGCCCUUGACUUUGGGAUAACUUCAGGAAACUGGGGCUAAUACCGGAUAGGAGCUCCUGCUGCAUGUGGGGGGUUGGAAAGUUUCGGCGGUUGGGGAUGGACUCGCGGCUUAUCCGCUUGUUAGUGGGGUAGUGGCUUACCAAGGCUUUGACGGGUAGCCGGCCUAAGAGGGUGACCGGCCACAUUGGGACUGAGAGACGGCCCAGACUCCUACGGGAGGCAGCAGUGGGGAAUAUUGCACAAUGGGCGGAAGCCUGAUGCAGCAACGCCGCGUGCGGGAUGACGGCCUUCGGGUUGUAAACCGCUUUCGACUGAGACGAAGCGUGAGUGACGGUAAUGGGUAAAGAAGCACCGGCUAACUACGUG